AGCGAACGCUGGCGGCAGGCCUAACACAUGCAAGUCGAACGGACCUUUCGGGGUUAGUGGCGGACGGGUGAGUAACACGUGGGAACGUGCCUUUAGGUUCGGAAUAGCUCCGGGAAACGUGUGGUAAUGCCGAAUGUGCCCUUAGGGGGAAAGAUUUAUCGCCUUUAGAGCGGCCCGCGUCUGAUUAGCUAGUUGGUGAGGUAAUGGCUCACCAAGGCUACGAUCAGUAGCUGGUCUGAGAGGAUGACCAGCCACAUUGGGACUGAGACACGGCCCAAACUCCUACGGGAGGCAGCAGUGGGGAAUCUUGCGCAAUGGGCGAAAGCCUGACGCAGCCAUGCCGCGUGGAUGAUGAAGGUCUUAGGAUUGUAAAAUCCUUUCACCGGUGAAGGUAAUGACUGUAGCCGGAGAAGAAGCCCCGGCUAACUUCGUGCCAGCAGCCGCGGUAA
rnacentral:rRNA from 1 species